CUAUGGGCAGUUUAGGACUGUAAAUUGCCAAAUCUGCAUACUUUUGGACUAAGGGGGACACCCACAGGAACAACCGGGAUCAGAUGCAGGGCUGCUGUGGUUCGACGCUGUGGGCCUCUACCCCCCCAGACCAGAUGCGUAAAUGUCACAAGAGGUAGAAAUAAGCACCACUGAGGGCACAGCUCAUCUAAACAUGGAGUCACAAAUUCCUCAGCGUGUC